GCCGAUGUGGCGGAAUGGCAGACGCACCGCACUCAAAAUGCGAUGGGCAUUGCUCGUGCCGGUUCAAGUCCGGCCAUCGGUACCA
rnacentral:tRNA from 1 species